rnacentral:rRNA from 1 species
GUCAUAUGCUUGUCUCAAAGAUUAAGCCAUGCAUGUCUCAGUACAAGCCAAAUUAAGGUGAAACCGCGAAAGGCUCAUUAAAUCAGUUAUGGUUCCUUAGAUCGUACCCACAAUUACUUGGAUAACUGUGGUAAUUCUAGAGCUAAUACAUGCAAACAGAGCUCCGACCGGAGACGGAAGGAGUGCUUUUAUUAGAUCAAAACCAAUCGGUGGCGGGUUCGCGCUCGUCAUCGUACAACUUGGUGACUCUGAAUAACUUUACGCUGAUCGCACGGUCAUCGCACCGGCGACGCAUCUUUCAAAUGUCUGCCUUAUCAACUGUCGAUGGUAGGUUCUGCGCCUACCAUGGUCGUAACGGGUAACGGGGAAUCAGGGUUCGAUUCCGGAGAGGGAGCCUGAGAAACGGCUACCACAUCCAAGGAAGGCAGCAGGCGCGCAAAUUACCCACUCCCGGCACGGGGAGGUAGUGACGAAAAAUAACGAUACGGGACUCAUCCGAGGCCCCGUAAUCGGAAUGAGUACACUCUAAACCCUUUAACGAGGAUCAAUUGGAGGGCAAGUCUGGUGCCAGCAGCCGCGG